GACGAACGCUGGCGGCGUGCCUAAUACAUGCAAGUAGAACGCAGUUGCGAACGGGUGAGUAACGCGUAGGUAACUGCCUCAUAGCGGGGGAUAACUAUUGGAAACGAUAGCUAAUACCGCAUACUGUGAGAUGGACCUGCGUUGUAUUAGCUAGUUGGUGAGGUAAAGGCUCACCAAGGCGACGAUACAUAGCCGACCGGAGAGGGUAAUCGGCACCACUGUGCCCUAGACCCGACCCCGACUCCUACAGGGAGCAGCCGUAGGGAAUCUUCGGCAAUGGACCGAAGUCUUACCGAGCACCGCCGCCUUAAGUAAGAAGGUUUUCGGAUCCUAAAGCUCUGUUGUUAGAGAAGCAGUAACUACCCAGAAAGGGACAGCUAACUACGUGCCAGCAGCCGCGGUAAUAC
rnacentral:rRNA from 1 species